rnacentral:rRNA from 1 species
UGGCGAACGGGUGAGUAAUAUAUCGGAACGUGCCCAGUAGUGGGGGAUAACUGCUCGAAAGAGCAGCUAAUACCGCAUACGACCUGAGGGUGAAAGGGGGGGAUCGCAAGACCUCUCGCUAUUGGAGCGGCCGAUGGCUGAUUAGCUAGUUGGUGGGGUAAAGGCCUACCAAGGCGACGAUCAGUAGCUGGUCUGAGAGGACGACCAGCCACACUGGGACUGAGACACGGCCCAGACUCCUACGGGAGGCAGCAGUGGGGAAUUUUGGACAAUGGGCACAAGCCUGAUCCAGCAAUGCCGCGUGUGCGAAGAAGGCCUUCGGGUUGUAAAGCACUUUUGUUUGGAAAGAAAAGGUCAGCGCUAAUACCGCUGGCUGAUGACGGUACCAAUCGAAUAAGCACCGGCUAACUACGUGCCAGCAGCCGCGGUAAUACGUAGGGUG